GCUGGCCUACAAUCUACCGUGGAUGAAGCAGUAGUUUCUUCGGCAAAGACAGUACGAAGCAAUAUCGAAGCUCAAGUUCUAUCGCUCGAGAAAUCAAGGAAUCAUAAUGCCUCUGCUAUUAAUACGGAGGAAAAUAAUAAGCAAGAAAGAAACUUGCAACGAAUGAUCGAAAUCUUUAAAGAAACAUACCUCAAGAUCCAAUGUUAUGUUAUCAGCCACAGGAAAAGCUGUCUCUCCACCUUUGUAAUUGUCGUUUAGAUAAUACAACACUGUGAUGUACCUUAAAACAUCAAUGAAGUUUUCUUUAAAGUUAA